UACGUAGGGUGCGAGCGUUAAUCGGAAUUACUGGGCGUAAAGCGUGCGCAGGCGGUUCGUUGUGUCUGAUGUGAAAGCCCCGGGCUCAACCUGGGAAUGGCAUUGGAAACUGGCGAGCUAGAGUGUGGCAGAGGGGGGUGGAAUUUCCUGUGUAGCGGUGAAAUGCGUAGAUAUAGGAAGGAACACCAGUGGCGAAGGCGACCACCUGGACUGAUACUGACACUGAGGUGCGAAAGCGUGGGGAGCAAACAGG
rnacentral:rRNA from 1 species